rnacentral:rRNA from 1 species
AGUGAACGCUGGCGGUAGGCCUAACACAUGCAAGUCGAACGGCAGCACAGGAGAGCUUGCUCUCUGGGUGGCGAGUGGCGGACGGGUGAGGAAUACAUCGGAAUCUACUUUUUCGUGGGGGAUAACGUAGGGAAACUUACGCUAAUACCGCAUACGACCUACGGGUGAAAGCAGGGGAUCUUCGGACCUUGCGCGAUUGAAGGAGCCGAUGUCGGAUUAGCUAGUUGGCGGGGUAAAGGCCCACCAAGGCGACGAUCCGUAGCUGGUCUGAGAGGAUGAUCAGCCACACUGGAACUGAGACACGGUCCAGACUCCUACGGGAGGCAGCAGUGGGGAAUAUUGGACAAUGGGCGCAAGCCUGAUCCAGCCAUACCGCGUGGGUGAAGAAGGCCUUCGGGUUGUAAAGCCCUUUUGUUGGGAAAGAAAUCCAGCUGGUUAAUACCCGGUUGGGAUGACGGUACCCAAAGAAUAAGCACCGGCUAACUCUGUGCCAGCCGCCGCAGUAA